AUUACACCAAAGUGGGCCAGUCCAUAGAUUCGGCCCACACAUCUUCCACACCCGUUUAAACAUUAAACACCGAACUCUAUCGUCCGGUAUCUCCCUAUUCUCUAGGCACAUCAAUCAGUGUUGUAAUCUUAAUAAGCUUUUGGUCCGAGGCUUUGGAUUGAAAGUGCUACAAUGGCGCCUGUGAGAACCACAGGCACUAUUGUGGCUACUGCUGUUGCUAUCUCAAUCUCAAUGGCGGUGCUCUCUUACUUUUGGUCAGAUACCAACUUGCCAUUCCAAAGACGAAGAAUUAGAAGUUCAGAACUGGGCCUACUGAUGCCAUUGGAAACGCACCUUUGAUUCGCAUCAACAGCCUUUCUGAAGUCACUGGUUCCGAGAAAUGGUGGCUUGAAGAAAUCGGGUGCAGAUGUUAGGACGGCUUGGUGGUGGAGUUCCAGAUUGUCCACAACCUUCUGUCCCCUACCCCGGUUGUUUAGUGAUGAGGUCAGAUGGAUCCUCCCAGGUGAUGACUUCUAUAAGAUAAACAUCAAUGUGGCAGUGUUCAAGCAACACAAUGAAGCAGAGAUUGGGGUUAGUGUUGGUUUUUAUUUUCUUUGCAUUCGUGGCUCUAUGCAGGCUUUGAAAUCUGGGAAACUAGCUCAACGGGAAUGAAAGAUCUUCAAUCUAAUUCAAGUAAUUAUUUCAUUUUACUGUAAAUAUGAUUCUUAGAGCAUCUUUCAAGAAAAAAUAUUAACUUUGAAUGCUACCUUUGAGCCACUGAACUUGGAAGCCUUUUGAAAAUCAACUAAGGUUGUUCUUCCAGUUGAUGUGCCUAAAACAUUUGGAUUUUUAACAAUCUGAAUCUGUUGCAGGAUUAUUAA